UGGCGCAGUAUGUGUGUUAAUUCUGAGCAUAAGGGCUUCAAUUUAUAGAGAAAUUGGAUGAUAUUUGCACACUCACUUUCACUUUCCAAAAUUGGCAAAUGAUGAAAUCAUGGUGCAUGGGCACGCAUAGGCCCAUGAAACGAUUGUUUGAAAGUCCAAAAUGAAGUUCAGAUGCUUUGGAGAUAGAUUGGAUUGCAAGGCAAAUGAGCAUUGUCAUUUG
rnacentral:lncRNA from 1 species